ensembl:lncRNA
AUGCCGGGCGACUUCCACAUCUACGGCUUGUGUGAAGACCACGUGGGGACCUAUCAGUGCAAAGUGGGCAACAACGUGGGCGUUGCCUAUUGCUCGGUCGAUAUCGGCUUCGACAGAGGUUUCUACUACGACUGGCUGGUCGGAGGGUCGGUCACCAUCUGCCUCCUGGCCGCGGCCCUCAUCGCGGGGGGGAGUGACGUGGUGCUGCUGCUGUUGCCGCAACCAACGUUGUUGUCCGUGCGGCGGCGGCUGUUGCGGGAAAGAGAGUUGCUGGGACUGCUGUUGCUCUUCCUGUUGCUCCGGCGGUCAGGACAUCAAGCAGGAGUGUGUGCAGACCAAGGGCAACGACAUCUGCGUGGAUGCCGAUGCUCCUCCGAGCCGGCCCUGCAGCCAGGCCUUGAGCCAGACGGGCAGCCUCCACUCUAUACUGGGAUACCAGUUCCGGACCGGCCACCGACCCCCCGGCUGCAAGUAUCUCCCUCCCAUCGUCCAGGUCAAGAUGGCCAAUCCUCUCUCUCCUCCCGACAGCGACCUGGAACCCUCCUCUCUGCCCAGUUCGGAGCAAGAGCCGCUCACCUCCAAAUGGCGAGAUCCGUAUUCCCCCGCCGAUAACUCCAUCCAGUACACCAAGGGCAAGAACCACAGCGGCCAGUCUCAGGCUUACUCCAGCUUACACAAUUUCGACAGCCCCGCUUCGGAGCCCGGCUGCGUCCGCUGGAAGGAUGGGAGCACCAAGCGUUACAAGAGUGCCAUGGUCAUGAUGCAGGCCUCCACCAAGGAAGGCCUUUUGAUAUGAAGCCGGUUGGGACAUUGAGUGACGAGGGUCAUAAUAUGCCCAACACUUGUCUUCGCUGGGAAACAUGUACGACUUCGUACCUUUCUCCUGCAAUGGUUUUAUUUUUCAUCUCAUACUGAAGAACGUAGUCAUUUCGGUUCUGCAAAGUUCUGUAACUGGGCUAAAUUAAUACCCUGUUUCCCCGAAAAUAAGACCUAGUAGAGGUUUUGCUGAAUUGCUAAAUAAAAGGCCUCCCCUGAAAGUAAGACCUAGCAAAAUUUUUCUUUGGAAGCAUGUCCACCAAAAAGUACAAUGUCGAAGAGAUAAACAAACACUAUAAAGGUUCAAAACAUAAAAAGAGGUACAGUAGAGUCUCACCUAUCCAAGCCUUACUUAUCCAAGGUUCUGGAUUAUCCAAUGCAUUUUUGUAGUCAAUGUUUUCAAUACAUCGUGAUAUUUUGGUGUUAAAUUUGUAAAUACAGUAAUUACAACAUAACAUUACUGCGUGUUGAACUACUUUUUCUGUCAAAUUUGUUGUAUAACAUGAUGUUUUGGUGAUUAAUUUGUAAAAUCAUAACCUAAUUCGAUGUUUAAUAGGCUUCUCCUUAAUCUCCUUAAAAAUUUACGAUUUUAGCACCAAAAUAUUACGAUGUAUUGAAAACAUUGACUACAAAAAUGCCUUGGAUAAUCCAGAAUGUUGAAUAAGCGAGUCUUGAAUAAGUGAGACUCUACUGUAUAUAUAACAUCAUAUAUAUAUGAAUAUUAUAUAUAACAUCAUAUGUAUAAUUAUAUAUAUAAGUGAGACUCUACUGUACCUCUUUUUAUGUUUUGAACAUUUAUAGUGUUUGCUUAUCUCUUCGACAUUGUUUAGUUUAGACAUCUGUGUGUAUUUAUCAUUACCACCAAAAAGAACACCAGAGCAUGCAGGAUCGGUAAAUGUACGUACUAUAGAUUGUUGUACAUGGAAAUAAUAACAGGAAACUCCUGAUAGGAUUCACAGUUUGUCUGGUCAUGCUGGUUUGUGGUGACAACUACUGUACAGUAUAUAAUAAAUGUUCGUUUUUUUGUUCAACAAUAAAUGUGAAUUCUUCUUCAUGGAAAAGUAAGACAUCCCCUGAAAACAAGACCUAGUACAUCUUUGGGAGCAAAAAUUAAUAUAAGACACUGUCUUAUUUUCGGGGAAACAGGGUAGUUCUAGUAUCGUUGACGACAAAAAGGCGAUUAGAAAAAGAUGAAAUCGUUCUCACCACCGGGAAAUGCUUCCUAAUAUAUUUUCCCAUAGAUGGAAACCUCUGUGUUGUGAUAUACCAGGUUCAGUAUGUGGAUGACAUAUUUCAGUAUAUCGACGAUUGGCUCAUAGCAUCCUUAUGUAUAUGGACGAUAUACUCAUAGCAUUGGCAUGGGUCAACUUGGGCCUUCCCUCCAGGUGUUUUGGACUUCAACUCCCACAA